GGGUAUAUAGUUAAAUCGGUAUAACGGUUGGUUUUUACUCAAUGCGAUGUAGGUUCGAGUCCUAUUAUACCUA
rnacentral:tRNA from 1 species